rnacentral:misc_RNA from 1 species
GUCAGAAAUAAGUCCCAAUGCAACAAAUUAAUAAAAGAUGGAUUACAUAUUCAGCCGUGUUUAAAAUGCGAGCUGCAGAAAACUCAAUCUGGCGUAUAUUCAAACAAUGCGGCAUAACCCCAUGAAAACCGGGUGAUCAUCCCACCUUCUUAGAAGAAAAUUUUCCAUGCCUCAUUUCAAAUACAAAAACAUUUUCAAUGCUUAAAGUAUCCUGGUAAUGCAUAUAAAACGCAAAAAUUACCUAGCGAUCCUAAAUGGCUAAGACAUCUAGUAAAGAAUCUAUCCCCUAAUGAAUUUUAAACACAAAAAAGAACGUAAUCAGAUUCAGCUUGUCAAGUGAUUAGAUGAUAAAACUAGACAAGUGAUCUACUCUUUGACUUGAACCUCAGACUUUUGGACUGAUGAACUUAACACUCUCCAUCAACAUAAGUUGUUAGUGUCAUGGAGCUACAGCCUACAGAGACAUACUCUCAACACAGAUUUUACUUGGAGCUCUAAUUGUAUUUUUUUAGCACCAGCCGCAGCUUCAGUUCAAAGCUAUUGUCUCUGAACUUUCCACUUCUCCCAUCAAUCCGUAGCCAAAAGUUUCUGCAAUUGACCAAUCUGGACAGCAGCUUUGAGAUCAUCAGAGCCACCAAUAUGCUUGCCAUUCACAAAUACUUGUGGGACAGUGCGUCGGCCUACUAGAUCCAGAAGAACAUACUGAAUUUGAGCCCCAUCAUCUCGAAGAUCUAGUUCCACAACAUAUGGUUGCUCAUGUAGUUCACUGAAUAUGCGCUUGGCACGCAUGCAAUACCUAGUGACAAAGGAAAACAAAGCACAGUUCCUCAUUCCACAUCGCCCGAUCAUUAUCUAAGUUGUUCCGUUUCAAAUUGUCUAUCAGCUAAUUUAAGGUGCUUUUAUACUAUGACUAUUAGCCAGAAAGGCUUGGAUAGUAACAGUAAGAAAACUUUAAAAGACCACUGCAUCUAUAGCACAAUUACACAAAUCAAAGAAAACGUAACUGCAAUUUUAUACUGUGACUAUUAGCCAGAGAAGCCUGGAUAGUAAAAAAUAUAUAUAUAUAUCGAGAUAAAGAAAUUAUGAAAAGAAAAACAGAUCUAAUACAAAUUAAAUGCAACAAUUGGAAAUGGAAGGUGAAUGCAGAUUGCAUUUGCAUCAUCCAAUACAUAGAUGGAAUAGUAGAACAAAUAUUUCUAGGCCUGAAUUAAUGGGCAACUAGAGGAAAAUAGUUCACUAACAGUAAUAGAUCAAAUUUUGAUAGGAAUCAGAGAAUAAAGUAGCGAAAAAUACAAAGAGAAGAUCACUAUUCUGGAAUUUAAUCUAUUUCGGUUCCAAACUUAUUAACCCAUAAUUGAAACAGAACAAGUCUCCCAUUAGUUUAUUUCCAAUCCAAUUGUACCAGAAGAGGCAGUAAUUCCCAAAAUUAUCAACACCAAAACCAUAAAUUUCUACUUCUUCAAAAAAAAAAAUAAAGGAAAUUUAAUCAUGGAGAAAAGGAAAAAAGAAAUAAUCGGGCAUACGGGCAGUAGGAUUUGGAGAAGAUGACAAUCCUUUGGGAGUGGAUGACAUUCUGUACAAAAGCCGAUGCUGAAUUCGAUGCAUAGGCUCCUUUGGAUUCAUUUAUCAAUACUAACAACGACAAUACUAACACAAACGAAGAAACUGAAACUCCUUGAAGAUGCAUUUUCAUCUUCAGUUUCAGCCAGGAAUUAUCACUGUUUGCAUAUGGACUCUCUAAGCGGUUUGGAUUGUCAGGAAACGAAUUCCAGCGUGAAAACCACGCAAUUGCAGGGAAGAAACAAGGCCCAAG